CCUACGGGAGGCAGCAGUAGGGAAUUUUCGGCAAUGGGGGGAACCCUGACCGAGCAACGCCGCGUGAAGGAAGAAGGAAUUCGUUCUGUAAACUUCUGUUAUAAAGGAAGAAAGACGGAUGGAGGAAAUGACAUCCGAGUGACGGUACCUGAGGAAUAAGCCACGGCUAACUACGUGCCAGCAGCCGCGGUAAUACGUAGGUGGCAAGCGUUAUCCGGAUUUACUGGGUGUAAAGGGCGUGUAGGCGGGAAAGCAAGUCAGAUGUGAAGACCAUGGGCUCAACCUGUGGCCUGCAUUUGAAACUGUUGUGCUGGAGUACUGGAGAGGCAGACGGAAUUCCUAGUGUAGCGGUGAAAUGCGUAGAUAUUAGGAGGAACACCAGUGGCGAAGGCGGUCUGCUGGACAGCAACUGACGCUGAGGCGCGAAAGCGUGGGGAGCAAACAGGAUUAGAUACCCGGGUAGUC
rnacentral:rRNA from 1 species